CAAUAGCGUAUAUUAAAGUUGUUGCAGUUAAAAAGCUCGUAGUUGGACCUUGGACCUGGACAGGCGGUCCGCCUCACGGCGUGUACUGUCUUGCUGGGUCUUUCCUCUUGGUGAUCUGUUGUUUCGGCAGCAGGGAACCAGGACUUUUACUUUGAAAAAAUUAGAGUGUUCAAAGCAGGCUCGACGCCGGAAUAUAUUAGCAUGGAAUAGUAAAAUAGGACGUGCGGUUCUAUUUUGUUGGUUUUUGGAAUCGCCGUAAUGAUUAAUAGGGACAGUCGGGGGCAUUAGUACUCACAUGCUAGAGGUGAAAUUCUUGGAUUUUGUGAAGACUAACUUCUGCGAAAGCAUUUGCCAAGGAUGUUUUCAUUAA
rnacentral:rRNA from 1 species